CAAGGAGUAGUUUAAUUUUAAGAUUCUGGCUUUGGGAGCCAGAGAUAAAGGUUAAAGUCCUUUCUCUUUGA
rnacentral:tRNA from 1 species